rnacentral:rRNA from 1 species
UACGGGGGGGGCAAGCGUUGUUCGGAAUUACUGGGCGUAAAGGGCUCGUAGGCGGUUUGUCGCGUCGGGAGUGAAAUCCACUGGCUUAACUGGUGGCUUGCUUUCGAUACGGGCAGACUGGAGGUAUGCAGGGGAGAACGGAAUUCCUGGUGUAGCGGUGAAAUGCGCAGAUAUCAGGAGGAACACCGGUGGCGAAGGCGGUUCUCUGGGCCGGUACUGACGCUGAGGAGCGAAAGCGUGGGGAGCGAACAGG